UCAUUUAUUCUUUAUUAUUAUUAUCAUUGCCUCUAUUUUACAGAUAAAGAAACUAAGGCCCAGGGAAGUUAAGUGACUUGCCCAGGGUCGCACAGCUAGCAAGUGAAAGAACCUGGAUUCCAUGGUGGUUGAUCAAGAACCAGACUGACCUCUUAACCAUACAAGAACAACCCUGGAAAUCCACCCAGGUGUUUCCAAGAAUAAUCUUCAGCUUCAACACCAACCAAAAGAUUUCCCGACAAAGGGAGCUUUCUCUUUGGAAGAGCAAUUCUGAUUGAACUGAAUGUCCUCUGUAUAAGGGCAUAAGUCAAGUGCAAGAAUCUAAAUGAAGCUGUGGGUGUCCUUCUAGCAUUAAUUAAAGCUUUGCUCUGGGCCCAGCUGCAGAGAAGACCAUGGGGUGCAACACAGAGGGG
rnacentral:lncRNA from 1 species